CAUGCCCGCGCUCCCCGCUCGACGAGCCUCCGCGCGGCGGCCUUCGAUCCGAACGACGAUGCUACGAGAUGUGGAGACAAGGGUCAUUAUGCUUAUGACUGUCACCGCAUAUAGUCGGAGGAGGAGGAGCAGGUUUCUUCGUUUGAGUCAGUCGCCUUGAUUCAGAAUGUCACAAGCCUUAAGGUUUCAUGCUGAGGCGCCUUGCAAAAUCCGACAAUUAAGAUCCUUCUAGACCUUGAGGUGAUCAGCAUAAGAGGCCAGAUCCCCUCGAGCCAUCUACACCUAGCUUCACCAUAUUCUUUAAAGGGCAGAAAAUUUGAGAUGGUGAUCGCCGUAACAGUAAAUUUGGCUUUCAAUUGGGGCCCCCCCCCCUCCGGUUUAGAAAGAGGAACACCAGAUUGACCACAUUCCCACCUAGAAAAAUCUUCUUGCGUCAAUCAAGCCUCACCCUGGCUCAUUUGGCUGUCAGUUUGAUCGUCGUUAGAUUGAAGAGAACACCUAGAUGCAGCGAUCGGCUAUAGAUACUUCUAGAUCGUCUAGAUCUGCUAGACCUUGGGCCAAAGAGGGUCGACCUGCAAACUUGCAAGGUCACGGUCUAGAUCUCAUUCAAGGUCCAGAGGAAGAAGGUAUUCUCGGUCACGCAGCCGAAGCCGUGGUAGGCGAUCCAGGUCAGCUUCUGUUCGCAGAUCGAGGUCGGUGUCACCUCGUAGAUCUAGAUCAGCCUCACCCCGUAGAUCCCGGUCACGUUCUUUAA
rnacentral:lncRNA from 1 species